AUUGAACGCUGGCGGCAGGCCUAACACAUGCAAGUCGAGCGGAGCGGCGCACGGGUGAGUAAUGCCUAGGAAUCUGCCUGGUAGUGGGUGAUAACGUCCGGACACGGGCGCUAAUACCGCAUACUAUCAGAUGAGCCUAGGUCGGAUUCGCUAGUUGGUGGGGUAAAGGCCUACCAAGGGGACGAUCCGUAACUGGUCUGAGAGGAUGAUCAGUCGCAGUGGAGGUGGGACGGGGACAAGAGUCCUACGGGAGGCAGCAGUGGGGAAUAUGGGACAAUGGGCGAAAGCCUGAUCCAGCGGUGCGGCGUGUGAGGAGGAGGUCGUCGGAUUGUGAUGCACUUGAAGUUGGUGGGCGUUACCAACAGAAUAAGCACCGGCUAACUUCGUGCCAGCAGCCGCGGUAAUAC
rnacentral:rRNA from 1 species